GGAUGAAUGCUGGCGGCGUGCCUUAAGCAUGCAAGUCGAACGAGCUAGUUUACUAGCUAGUGGCGGACGGGUGAGUAAUAUAUAGGAAUCUACCCCUUGAUGGGGAAUAUCCCAGAGAAAUUUGGGUUAAUACCGCAUAAUCUCUACGGAGCAAAGGUCGUAACUGGCCGUCGAGGGAGGAGCCUAUAUCCUAUCAGCUUGUUGGUAAGGUAAAAGCUUACCAAGGCGAUGACGGGUAGGGGGUGUGAGAGCAUGACCCCCCACAAGGUCACUGAUACACGGGGCCUACACCUACGGGUGGCAGCAACUGGGAAUAUUGCGCAAUGGGCGAAAGCCUGACGCAGCGACGCCGCGUGCGGGACGAAGGCCUUCGGGUCGUAAACCGCUGUGGAGGGGGAAGAUAAUGACGGUACCCCUCUAGAAAGCACCUGCUAACUACGUGCCAGAAGCCUCGGUGAUACGUAGGGUGCAAGCAUUAUCCGGAUUUAUUGGGCGUAAAGAGUAUCGUAGGCGGUAUAGUAAGUGAUUAGUGAAAUCCUUUGGCUCACCAAAGAACUGCUAGUCAUACUGCUAAACUUGAGUAAUUUCGGGAAGGCUGGAAUUUUCGGUGUAGGGGUGAAAUCCGUUGAUAUCGAAAAGAACACCAAGGGGCGAAGGCAGGCCUUUAGGAAUUUACUGACGCUGAUGAACGAAAGCUUGGGGAGCAAAGCGGAUUAGAGACCCGCGUAGUCCAAGCCGUAAACGAUGUCCACUAGAUGGUCUGAUGUAUUUUGGACUGUCGUAAGCUAACGCGUUAAGUGGACCGCCUGGGGAGUACGGCCGCAAGGCUAAAACUCAAAGGAAUUGACGGGGAAAUGCACAACCAGGGGAGCAUGUGGUUUAAUUCGAUACAAAGCGAAGAACCUUACCUGGUCUUGACAUACACGGAACUUUCCAGAGAUGGAUUGGUGCCUUCGGGAACCGUGAUACAGGUGCUGCAUGGCUGUCGUCAGCUCGUGUCGUGAGAUGUUGGGUUAAGUCCCGUAACGAGCGCAACCCUUAUCCUUAUUUGCCAGCACAUCAUGGUGGGAACUAUAAGGAGACUGCCGGUGAUAAACCGGAGGAAGGCGGGGACGACGUCAAGUCAUCAUGGCCCUUACGACCAGGGCUACACACGUGCUACAAUGGGAAGGACAAAGGGUUGCUAAGCCGCGAGGUGGUGCUAAUCUCAUAAACCUUUUCGUAGUCCGGAUCGGAGUCUGCAACUCGACUCCGUGAAGUCGGAAUCGCUAGUAAUCGUGGAUCAGAACGCCACGGUGAAUACGUUCCCGGGUCUUGCACUCACCG
rnacentral:rRNA from 1 species